GGAAUGGUACAAAAAAAAUCACAUAUAAGAUGUCGAGGUGGCUCAAAGGCCAAGAUCUACGGUACCUGGUGUAGAUACAAAGAAUGAUGUUUGUUCCUUACAAACUGGACAGGCUUAGACACUUUUGGAUGACAAGUUUGCAUUCCCCCAUCUUAAGGGAAGCUCUCAUUUGAUGGAAACUAGAUGAAAGAAAUCGUACUGUUUAGCCAAACAUCAUUCAGAGAGAAUGGUCCUAUCUGCAGUGGCAGAUCCAGACAUGUUCGGAUGGUAGUGUGAGCAAUGGCUGCAAAGGCCGUGUCAAAUCAGCAGAUGGCUUGCAUGAAGGCAUAUAUAUUUAAUCUGGGCAUGACAAUACAUUGUUGACACAAAAACAAGCACCCUAAGACGGCAUUCCACAAGCACUGACAUCAAGACAUGCGACAUAUGCAACAGGGAAACAGUAAUAACAAGCUUAAUCUGGUGUAUACUUAAUAGUAAAUUAUGACACUAUAUCAUGUUUAUUGACAGUCAAUAUAUUCAAACUGGGAGAAAACAAAGAGUAGUUGAUCUCUAAGUCUAAGAUAGAAUGGAAUCAUCCAAGAAGAAACUUAGCACGAAAGGAGAGCACUUCAAGUUAAGGGCGGGCACGAUGUGGGGCGUGGGGAAUCAGUUGAGGCCCGGAAUUCGGAAAACAAAUUGCUAUUAGUACUACACCACGCAGCAGAGGCAAGACCGCAGCAAACUAGAUGGGUUGGAGCACCCCGUAUCCCUCCAUUGCGGAACAGGGGAGCGAGAUUAGAUUAUACGCAUCAAUAAAAAAUACAGUAAAAAUAUCACGGAAUAAAUCUCAGAACGACAAAGUAAGUUAGGGUUCGUCACCGGCGAAAGGGAUCGAUCCAAAGUCCGAAUGGAUCUCCACUCCGCGCCAGUCCAGCUCCUCCAGCUACGAGAGAAGAACUCCUCCGGCGUGGUGUGGUUCGGUCGAAGGUGGCAUGGGGACGUGUUCGUCGGGGAGGAUCCGGUGAGUGUCGCGCAGCCGCCGCCGCGGCGAGGGGAAGUGAAAUCGAAGCAAUUGGGUGGGCCGGAGAGGCGACGGAUCGGGAUAUCUGGUAUUUUUCACAGGGACUCGUAGAGUCGUAGGGUUCUUUUUCCUAAUUUUUCCAGUAGUAAUUAGACCCUGGGCUGGAUGCUAAUUAUUUACUUCAUUUCCCUAAAAAGACAGAUAUGCUAUCCAGUGAACGUUCGUUGGGGGUGGGAUCCCAACGAACGCCCCCAGAACAGUUAGAUCCAGAUCAGACGGUGGCAGUACUUGCAAUUACCCACAAUUAAACAAGCUGCCAUGGCAGUUUUGCAAAAUGC
rnacentral:lncRNA from 1 species